rnacentral:rRNA from 1 species
GUGAGGAAUAUUGCGCAAUGGGGGAAACCCUGACGCAGCGACGCCGCGUGGAUGAUGAAGGCCUUCGGGUCGUAAAAUCCUGUCAGAUGGAAAGAAAUGCCUCAUCUCUAAUAUAGGUGAGGUUUGACGGUACCAUCAAAGGAAGCACCGGCUAACUCCGUGCCAGCAGCCGCGGUAAUACGGAGGGUGCAAGCGUUGUUCGGAAUUACUGGGCGUAAAGGGCGCGUAGGCGGUCUGCUCAGUCAGAUGUGAAAGUCCAUGGCUCAACCGUGGAAGUGCAUUUGAUACUGGCAGACUUGAGUACUGGAGGGGGUGGUGGAAUUCCCGGUGUAGAGGUGAAAUUCGUAGAUAUCGGGAGGAAUACCGGUGGCGAAGGCGACCAUCUGGCCAGAUACUGACGCUGAGGCGCGAAAGCGUGGGGAGCAAACAGGAUUAGAAACCCGUGUAGUCC